AGCGCUCUCUUGGGGGGGACGGACACCCGAAGCCUCCUCUUUUCUCUCACACACACGCGCGCCCUCAAGUCCACAGCUCUUGCUCAGCAAUAAAUCCUACUGGUUGCCGCGGAAUGUCCUUCCCAACCACGUCCAGCCCUUACGCACGUUGGCAGAGGGACACAAGCGUCCCUGCAUUCCCUGGGACCGACUCGGCGCGCCCGCGUCCACGCGCAACCCUGCGCUCUCCGCCUUCCGCUCCUCUGGCAAAGACUUUGCCGUCGGCGCUCGCUCGCACACGCAGAGGCGCGCAGGCUGCCCCCUCCGGCUCGCACCUCCCGGGACCGGAUCCACGCUCCUAAGGGAGGAGGAGACCCGCCACCACCGCACCUGCAAAAAGUCAAAUUCAAAUAACUCCAGUAUUGCCCUUGGGCAGCCCUUGCCUGCCUGGGCCCAGAGCUGCAUAGCCCCACUGUGACAUCAGAGCAGCCAGGCGAACAGCAGCCAGAAGGAGGGCAGCAAGACACCUCUGCCUGCACAAGUUCACUGUGACAUCAGAGCAGUUCAGCCAACAGGAUCAAGACAUGCAGCUGCUCAGGAUGUUUGAAUAGUCCAUGCCUGUUGGACGGUGAUUUCACACAUGACAAAGAGGCAAAGCUGGUUUCUUAUCGAGCGUGCACGCACCGGAGCAGAGAGCUACAUUGAAUCUCCUCUCCCCGACGAAUGCCCCGUUGUGGGACACAUGACUGCAAACAUGUCAGAGAGAUAGCUAGGUGCAUUUUAGAGCACAUUUAAAACAUCUUAAGUUUACAUGUGUACAAUGGAACAUGCAAAAUGUUAUGCUGAUUAAAAUCAUGUCUCACCUGAA